AGAAUCACCGAUCCUUUUAUGAACGCGUAAUAGCUUACUGGUCGAGGCGCUCUGCGCGGAAGAUCUAACGUUGCUACACUAUGCACCGAAUCUGCGGAUUAAAACUUUGUUUGAGUGGUAGGUGAGCGUUCUGUAAGCCGGUGAAGGUGAACCGGGAGGUGGGCUGGAGGGCUCAGAAGGGCGCAUGCGGAGAUCAGUCUCGAUAAUGCGGGUGAACUCCACGGAUGCCGGAAGCCGAGUGGGUCCUCUC
rnacentral:rRNA from 1 species